CCACUCUCGAUCCGGAAAUACGUUACCUCCACUUGAAAACAUCAAGAUGGCGUCGCCGUGAGUUCUUCAAACUUAAACUCAGGGAUAGGAUUGGCAUGGAAGAUGCAGCACUCUUUACAUUUUAAAUAUCAAAUGUAUAUCAAGUGUUAUCCAUCCUCAUAACACCUCCACAAAUAGAGACUGGAACUUCUGAGCACCAUCACCUUGUCUGCUUUGGGACUGUCAUAGCCCAGCAAUCAGAUGCAUCAGAACAACAAAGCACAGCUGGGGUGGCCCAGGCACCUUCAGCAACAAGUGCAGUGAAGAUAUUUAAAGAGACACUAUCACUAUCUAAAGUGCAGAAAGCCUUACAUCAUCUCUAGGUGCCGUCGCCUACAGUGCAGCCAGCUUCACAAAGACUGUGGGGCUGGUUACCAGGAAAAUGGACAACAGGGAGUGCUUUUGGGGUUUUACUCCUAAGAUUACCACCCUGGCUAUUGUAGCUGGGAUUGCUUCACAGACGAUGGAAGUCUUGAAGAGUAAAGUGUUUGUGCGUGUGCACACAUUGUGCUUUUACUGUAACAAUUAUGGUCACUUGCAGUUUU